GGUCCCACCUCAGAGACACAGAAGAGGCUCUCUGGAGGGAGGUUUGGGAUAUUUCAAACAUUAGCUUCUGUGGGAGUUGCUUUAUUUCUGGAUUUGUUAUGCUUGGUUUGUCUUGCUGCUUUUAAAUAUUUGUACAAGUGACUAGAGCUAUGCAAACUGUGCCUGAAGGAAUUGUGAAACAGAGGAGAAGAAUUAACUGGAGGUACCAAAACUGAUUUAUAAAAUAUGUGAGAACCUUUGAAUGCCUGUGCAGAUAUGGACAAUCUGGCCUCUGUCCCAUAACCUACAAGGAAUUACAACACUGAAGAGUAUUUGUUUAAAUUUCUGCCUUGUGGCAGGCUCCUGGGCCAUGAAGGUCAACGAGGUCGCUGUCAUGGCCUGAUAACAAAGCUUAAUUACCCUCAGCACUGAAACCUUUCCAAAAGUCUGUGAUGCCUAUGAAGAUGCAUGGCUGUAAUGGCUCUUCUGGAGGUUAAUCUGCAGAGAUCCUGUGUGUGCACCUGGUGAUGAGUGAUUUGUCACCGUGCCCAUUUCACUGUGACCUCCUCUCCCUCUGCUUGGCCUUGACCCCCACAGCGUGUGAUGGGGAGGGACAGCCUCCUCCAAGCCACCUGCUCCUGCCUCCACCCUGGGUGCUACAGGAAAAAUAAAAAUAAAAAAUGAAA